AGUUUUUACAUUUUUUAUUGUGGUGAAAUAUACAUAAUAUGAAGUUUACCACUUUAACCAUUUUUAAGUAUACAACUCAGUGUUUUUGUUUUGUUUUGUUUUUAGAUAGUCUCCCUAUGGAACCCAGGCUGGCCUCAAAUUCACCUCAACCCUCGUGCUACAGUCUCCUGAAUGCUGGGAUUACAAGAGGUUUUGGUGGUUUUGGAGAUUGAACCUCAAACAUGCUGGGUAUCCAAGGGUCUGAUCUGCCCCAAGCAGUCAACCUGAAAAUCUGACUUGAAAAAAACCUGCAGGAAGCGAAGACCAUGGAAAGCGCAGAGUCAGGGCUCUUCUGGCCUCACAGCUGAGCCCCGUGCAGAAGGCCCCUCUACCCUCAGCCCAGAGAGCCGGCCCUGGCCCCCCGCUGCUCACCGAGGAGGUGGAGGGGCGUCAAGGGGCGAGAAAGGACAUCCCGAAAGCUCUCCAGCCAUUCCC